AAUGAACGCUGGCGGCAUGCCUAACACAUGCAAGUCGAACGAAGGCUUCGGCCUUAGUGGCGCACGGGUGCGUAACGCGUGGGAAUCUGCCCUUGGGUUCGGAAUAACAGUUAGAAAUGACUGCUAAUACCGGAUGAUGUCGUGAGACCAAAGAUUUAUCGCCCAAGGAUGAGCCCGCGUAGGAUUAGCUAGUUGGUGGGGUAAAGGCCCACCAAGGCGACGAUCCUUAGCUGGUCUGAGAGGAUGAUCAGCCACACUGGGACUGAGACACGGCCCAGACUCCUACGGGAGGCAGCAGUGGGGAAUAUUGGACAAUGGGCGAAAGCCUGAUCCAGCAAUGCCGCGUGAGUGAUGAAGGCCUUAGGGUUGUAAAGCUCUUUUACCCGGGAUGAUAAUGACAGUACCGGGAGAAUAAGCUCCGGCUAACUUCGUGCCAGCCGCCGCGGUAACAC
rnacentral:rRNA from 1 species